rnacentral:rRNA from 1 species
UACGUAGGGUGCAAGCGUUAAUCGGAAUUACUGGGCGUAAAGCGUGCGCAGGCGGUUUUGUAAGUCAGAUGUGAAAUCCCCGGGCUUAACCUGGGAACUGCGUUUGAAACUACAAGGCUAGAGUGUGGCAGAGGGGGGUGGAAUUCCGACGUGUAGCAGUGAAAUGCGUAGAGAUGUGGAGGAACACCGAUGGCGAAGGCAGCCCCCUGGGU